AGCGAACGCUGGCGGCAGGCUUAACACAUGCAAGUCGAGCGGGCACUUUCGGGUGUCCGCGGCGGACGGGUGAGUAACGCGUGGGAACGUGCCCUCUGGUUCGGAAUAACUCAGGGAAACUUGAGCUAAUACCGGAUACGCCCUUUUGGGGAAAGGCUUGCUGCCGGAGGAUCGGCCCGCGUCUGAUUAGCUAGUUGGUGAGGUAACGGCUCACCAAGGCGACGAUCAGUAGCUGGUCUGGGAGGAUGAUCAGCCACACUGGGACUGAGACACGGCCCAGACUCCUACGGGAGGCAGCAGUGGGGAAUAUUGGACAAUGGGCGCAAGCCUGAUCCAGCCAUGCCGCGUGAGUGAUGAAGGCCUUAGGGUUGUAAAGCUCUUUUAUCCGGGACGAUAAUGACGGUACCGGAGGAAUAAGCCCCGGCUAACUUCGUG
rnacentral:rRNA from 1 species